rnacentral:rRNA from 1 species
UACGUAGGGGGCAAGCGUUAUCCGGAUUUACUGGGUGUAAAGGGAGCGUAGACGGCAGCGCAAGUCUGAAGUGAAAGCCCGGGGCUCAACCCCGGAAUGGCUUUGGAAACUGCGCGGCUAGAGUACCGGAGGGGUAAGCGGAAUUCCUAGUGUAGCGGUGAAAUGCGUAGAUAUUAGGGGGAACACCAGUGGCGAAGGCGGCUUACUGGACGGUAACUGACGUUGAGGCUCGAAAGCGUGGGGAGCAAACAGG